rnacentral:rRNA from 1 species
UACGAAGGGUGCAAACGUUGCUCGGAAUUAUUGGGCGUAAAGCGCACGUAGGCGGCUUGGCAAGUCGGAUGUGAAAGCCCUCAGCUCAACUGAGGAAGUGCGCCCGAAACUGCAUGGCUUGAGUACCGGAGAGGAUGGUGGAAUUCCCCAAGUAGAGGUGAAAUUCGUAGAUAUGGGGAGGAACACCGGUGGCGAAGGCGACCAUCUGGACGGAUACUGACGCUGAGACGCGAAAGCGUGGGGAGCGAACAGG